AAUACUACCUAGUGACCGAUAGCGUAUAGUACCGUGAGGGAAAGGUGAAAAGAACCCCGGGAGGGGAGUGAAAUAGAACCUGAAACCCUGCACUUACAAGCUGUGGAAGCACAUUUCUUGUGUGACCGCGUACUUUUUGUAGAACGGGCCAACGAGUUACGUUAAGUAGCAAGGUUAAGCACUUAAGGUGUGGAGCCGUAGCGAAAGCGAGUUUUAACUGAGCGUUCAGUUACUUGACGUAGACCCGAAACCGGGCGACCUACCCAUGAGCAGGAUGAAGCGAAAGUAAAAUUUCGUGGAGGUCCGAACCCACGAGCGUUGAAAAGCUCGGGGAUGACUUGUGGGUAGCGGUGAAAUUCCAAUCGAGCCCGGAGAUAGCUGGUUCUCCCCGAAAUAGCUUUAGGGCUAGCCUCAAGGUGAGAGAUACGGAGGUAGAGCACUGAAUGUCCUAGGGGGUAUUGCACCU
rnacentral:rRNA from 1 species